GAUGAACGCUGGCGGCGUGCUUAACACAUGCAAGUCGAACGGGAUCCAUCAGGCUUUGCUUGGUGGUGAGAGUGGCGAACGGGUGAGUAAUGCGUGACCGACCUGCCCCAUACACCGGAAUAGCUCCUGGAAACGGGUGGUAAUGCCGGAUGCUCCGACUCCUCGCAUGGGGUGUCGGGAAAGAUUUCAUCGGUAUGGGAUGGGGUCGCGUCCUAUCAGGUAGUCGGCGGGGUAACGGCCCACCGAGCCUACGACGGGUAGCCGGCCUGAGAGGGCGACCGGCCACAUUGGGACUGAGAUACGGCCCAGACUCCUACGGGAGGCAGCAGUGGGGAAUAUUGCACAAUGGGCGCAAGCCUGAUGCAGCGACGCCGCGUGCGGGAUGACGGCCUUCGGGUUGUAAACCGCUUUUAAUCGGGAGCAAGCCUUCGGGUGAG
rnacentral:rRNA from 1 species